UCCCGUGUGGCUCAGUUGGUAGAGCAUGGUGUUCGCAACGCCAGGGUUGUGGGUUCGAUUCCCACGGGGGACCAGUACGGAAG